UAUCUACUCCAUCCGUCUUAAAUUUUUUGUCUUAACUUUGCUUAGAAAUGGAUGUAUCUAAAUACUAAAACUUGACUAGAUACAUUCAUAUUUAAACAAAACUAAGACAAGAAUUUUAAGACGGAGGGAGUAUUUC
rfam:Hordeum vulgare subsp. vulgare, WGS project CAJW01000000 data, contig: morex_contig_276668